CGAAGCUGGAUUCGCUAGUAAUCGCGCAUCAGCCACGGCGCGGUGAAUACGUUCCCGGGCCUUGUACACACCGCCCGUCAAGCCAUGGGAGCCGGGGGUACCUGAAGUGCGUAACCGCGAGGAUCGCCCUAGGGUAAAACUGGUGACUGGGGCUAAGUCGUAACAAGGUAGC
rnacentral:rRNA from 1 species